rnacentral:rRNA from 1 species
GGGUUGUGAGGUUAAGCGACUAAGCGUACACGGUGGAUGCCUAGGCAAUCAGAGGCGAUGAAGGACGUGCUAAUCUGCGAAAAGCGUCGGUAAGGUGAUAUGAACCGUUAUAGCCGACGAUGUCCGAAUGGGGAAACCCAGUGCAAUUCGUUGCACUAUCGUUUGAUGAAUCCAUAGUCAAACGAGGCGAACCGGGGGAACUGAAACAUCUCAGUACCCCGAGGAAAAGAAAUCAACCGAGAUUCCCCUAGUAGCGGCGAGCGAACGGGGAGCAGCCCAGAGUCUUAAUCAGCAUCAGCAUCAGGAGAACGGUCUGGAAAGGCCGGCAAUAAAGGGUGAUAGCCCCGUAUCCGAAGGUGUUGGUGUUGUGAACUCGACGAGUAGGGCGGGACACGUGUUAUCCUGUCUGAAUAUGGGGGGACCAUCCUCCAAGGCUAAAUACUCCUGAUUGACCGAUAGUGAACCAGUACCGUGAGGGAAAGGCGAAAAGAACCCCGGCGAGGGGAGUGAAAUAGAACCUGAAACCGUGUACGUACAAGCAGUGGGAGCCUUGAUUUAUCAGGGUGACUGCGUACCUUUUGUAUAAUGGGUCAGCGACUUAUAUUCUGUAGCAAGGUUAACCGAAUAGGGGAGCCGUAGGGAAACCGAGUCUUAACUGGGCGAAUGAGUUGCAGGGUAUAGACCCGAAACCCGGUGAUCUAGCCAUGGGCAGGUUGAAGGUUGGGUAACACUAACUGGAGGACCGAACCGACUAAUGUUGAAAAAUUAGCGGAUGACUUGUGGCUGGGGGUGAAAGGCCAAUCAAACCGGGAGAUAGCUGGUUCUCCCCGAAAGCUAUUUAGGUAGCGCCUCGUGAACUCAUCUUCGGGGGUAGAGCACUGUUUCGGCUAGGGGGUCAUCCCGACUUACCAACCCGAUGCAAACUACGAAUACCGAAGAAUGUUAUCACGGGAGACACACGGCGGGUGCUAACGUUCGUCGUGAAGAGGGAAACAACCCAGACCGCCAGCUAAGGUCCCAAAGUCAUGGUUAAGUGGGAAACGAAGUGGGAAGGCUCAGACAGCCAGGAUGUUGGCUUAGAAGCAGCCAUCAUUUAAAGAAAGCGUAAUAGCUCACUGGUCGAGUCGGCCUGCGCGGAAGAUGUAACGGGGCUAAACCAUGCACCGAAGCUGCGGCAGCGACAUGUAAAUGUUGUUGGGUAGGGGAGCGUUCUGUAAGCCUGUGAAGGUGUGCUGCGAGGCAUGCUGGAGGUAUCAGAAGUGCGAAUGCUGACAUAAGUAACGAUAAUGCGGGUGAAAAACCCGCACGCCGGAAGACCAAGGGUUCCUGUCCAACGUUAAUCGGGGCAGGGUGAGUCGACCCCUAAGGCGAGGCAGAAAUGCGUAGUCGAUGGGAAACAGGUUAAUAUUCCUGUACUGGUGAUAAUUGCGAUGGGGGGACGGAGAAGGCUAGGCUGGCCGGGCGACGGUUGUCCCGGUUUAAGGAUGUAGGUGGGUGAAUUAGGCAAAUCCGGUUCGCUAUACACUGAGGUCUGAUGACGAGUCACUACGGUGGCGAAGUAGCUCAUGCCCCGCUUCCAGGAAAAGCCUCUAAGCUCUAGAUUAUCAUUAAUCGUACCCCAAACCGACACAGGUGGUCAGGUAGAGAAUACUCAGGCGCUUGAGAGAACUCGGGUGAAGGAACUAGGCAAAAUGGUGCCGUAACUUCGGGAGAAGGCACGCUGGCAUUAGGUGAAGUGGUUUACCCAUGGAGCUGAAGCCAGUCGCAGAUACCAGCUGGCUGCAACUGUUUAUUAAAAACACAGCACUGUGCAAACACGAAAGUGGACGUAUACGGUGUGACGCCUGCCCGGUGCUGGAAGGUUAAUUGAUGGGGUUAUCCGUAAGGAGAAGCUCUUGAUCGAAGCCCCAGUAAACGGCGGCCGUAACUAUAACGGUCCUAAGGUAGCGAAAUUCCUUGUCGGGUAAGUUCCGACCUGCACGAAUGGCGUAAUGAUGGCCAGGCUGUCUCCACCCGAGACUCAGUGAAAUUGAACUCGCUGUGAAGAUGCAGUGUACCCGCGGCAAGACGGAAAGACCCCGUGAACCUUUACUAUAGCUUGACACUGAACAUUGAGCCUUGAUGUGUAGGAUAGGUGGGAGGCUUUGAAGUGUGGACGCCAGUCUGCAUGGAGCCAACCUUGAAAUACCACCCUUUAAUGUUUGAUGUUCUAACGUAGCCCCAUAAUCUGGGGUGCGGACAGUGUCUGGUGGGUAGUUUGACUGGGGCGGUCUCCUCCCAAAGCGUAACGGAGGAGCACGAAGGUUGGCUAAGCAUGGUCGGACAUCAUGCGGUUAGUGCAAAGGCAUAAGCCAGCUUGACUGCGAGAGUGACGGCUCGAGCAGGUACGAAAGUAGGUCUUAGUGAUCCGGUGGUUCUGAAUGGAAGGGCCAUCGCUCAACGGAUAAAAGGUACUCCGGGGAUAACAGGCUGAUACCGCCCAAGAGUUCAUAUCGACGGCGGUGUUUGGCACCUCGAUGUCGGCUCAUCACAUCCUGGGGCUGAAGUAGGUCCCAAGGGUAUGGCUGUUCGCCAUUUAAAGUGGUACGCGAGCUGGGUUUAGAACGUCGUGAGACAGUUCGGUCCCUAUCUGCCGUGGGCGUUGGAAGAUUGAAAGGGGCUGCUCCUAGUACGAGAGGACCGGAGUGGACGCACCGCUGGUGUUCGGGUUGUCAUGCCAAUGGCACUGCCCGGUAGCUAAGUGCGGAAGAGAUAACCGCUGAAAGCAUCUAAGCGGGAAACUUGCCUUGAGAUGAGUCUUCCCUGACUCUUUAAGGGUCCUAAAGGAACGUUUAAGACGAAGACGUUGAUAGGCUGGGUGUGUAAGCGUAGCGAUACGUUGAGCUAACCAGUACUAAUGAACCGUGAGGCUUAACCUGACAACACCGAAGGUGUUUUAG